rnacentral:miRNA from 1 species
CGUCAGUGGUCAAUUGCUCUGG